ACUUGAUCUAUAUCCACUGAAACAGACCAGUGGCACUGAACCAUAUUCUCCUCUGAGUACUGAACCUCAUUCAACAGACUGUCAACCAAUUCAGCUCCCCUUGUUGGCUGCUAACAUAUGCCUCAGGUCCAGUGAGUGUUAGUGUAUGGUAACAUAUGCCUCAGGUCCAGUGAGUGUUAGUGUAUGGUAACAUAUGCCUCAGGUCCAGUGAGUGUUAGUGUAUGGUAUCAUAUGCCUCAUGUCCAGUGAGUGUUAGUGUAUGGUAACAUGUGCCUCAGGUCCAGUGAGUGUUAGUGUAACAUAUGCCUCAGGUCCAGUGAGUGUUAGUGUAACAUAUGCCUCAUGUCCAGUGAGUGUUAGUGUAUGGCUGGUAACAUAUGCCUCAGGUCCAGUGAGUGUUAGUGUAAUAUAUGCCUCAUGUCCAGUGAGUGUUAGUGUAUGGCUGGUAACAUAUGCCUCAUGUACAGUGAGUAUACUCAAUUCAUUGUGUGCAAUGCACCCUACUGAAAUCUAGGAAGAACACGACCACUUCGUUCCUCCAAAGGAGGUCUGUUGUCUUUGCCUUCUCUCUCCACAGCGAGAGAUGGCAAUCAAGACCUUUUCUGAACCCAUGAGGGCUAUCUGUU
ensembl:lncRNA